AUUGAACGCUGGCGGCAGGCCUAACACAUGCAAGUCGAGCGGAUGAAGGGAGCUUGCUCCUGGAUUCAGCGGCGGACGGGUGAGUAAUGCCUAGGAAUCUGCCUGGUAGUGGGGGAUAACGUCCGGAAACGGGCGCUAAUACCGCAUACGUCCUUAGGGAGAAAGUGGGGGAUCUUCGGACCUCGCGCUAUCAGAUGAGCCUAGGUCGGAUUAGCUAGUUGGUGGGGUAAAGGCCUACCAAGGCGACGAUCCGUAACUGGUCUGAGAGGAUGAUCAGUCACACUGGAACUGAGACACGGUCCAGACUCCUACGGGAGGCAGCAGUGGGGAAUAUUGGACAAUGGGCGAAAGCCUGAUCCAGCCAUGCCGCGUGUGUGAAGAAGGUCUUCGGAUUGUAAAGCUCUUUAAGUUGGGAGGAAGGGCAGUAAGUUAAUACCUUGCUGUUUUGACGUUACCAACAGAAUAAGCACCGGCUAACUUCGUG
rnacentral:rRNA from 1 species